CGUUGAGCUUGACUUCUUAAGAACUUAGCAACAGAAACAGUUGUUCUCUUUUCAUAGAGUGAGACUCUUUUAACUUUGGCAGAGGUUCAACUUUUUCAUGUUAUUGAUUCGUACUUGGAUUUGAAUCCUCAUACUUUUUUAUAGUGGACUUUGAGAUGUUUCCAUUGGAAAGUUGUUAUCGCUUUAUUAAAUGCUCAGAUCUUAGAAGAUCUCUGAUGAUGACUUUCAGGGAGGUUGAGACAACUUACUUUCGGCUUUGACACGUCACAUCAAACUGUUGUUUUACCUACCACGUGAGUGUUGUCAAAUCGCCAAGUUAGUUGUUAGACACAACCCAAUCUGAUCUUCUAUUUGAAUUUAGGAUGAAU
rnacentral:lncRNA from 1 species